UCCCUGCUGGCUCAGACGGCAAAGCGUCUGUCUGUCAACGCGGGAGACCUGGGUUCAAUCCCUGGGUAGGGAA
rnacentral:tRNA from 1 species